rnacentral:lncRNA from 1 species
UAUACAAAGGCAGUUAGAUGGAAAACAGUCGGAAGUGUUCUGUAUAUAGUUUUUUAAGUGGAAAUUUUUAUCUUUCAGGUAAUUAGAUUCAUCGCUUUGCAGAUUACAGAUAAAUUACAAAAGGAAAAGGAAACAUUUACAAUGAAAAAAUCUGGUACUUUGAAAAAUGUUUAAUGCAAUGAUAAAGAACCUGUCUAAGAGUUUAAAAUACGAUAAAAACAAGAACGUACAUCAACUGUUGAUCCCAUCUGAUGGCAGUCUGUCCUUGAGCAUACAGCUAAAAGGAUUUUCUCCGUAUCAAGUGGCACAACUACGGUGGAUAUUCUGGAAUCCAGAGCUGCUUUGUACUUGA